UGGGGAAUAUUGCACAAUGGGCGCAAGCCUGAUGCAGCCAUGCCGCGUGUAUGAAGAAGGCCUUCGGGUUGUAAAGUACUUUCAGCGGGGAGGAAGGGAGUAAAGUUAAUACCUUUGCUCAUUGACGUUACCCGCAGAAGAAGCACCGGCUAACUCCGUGCCAGCAGCCGCGGUAAUACGGAGGGUGCAAGCGUUAAUCGGAAUUACUGGGCGUAAAGCGCACGCAGGCGGUCUGUCAAGUCAGAUGUGAAAUCCCCGGGCUUAACCCGGGAAUUGCAUCUGAUACUGGUCAGCUAGAGUCUUGUAGAGGGGGGUAGAAUUCCAUGUGUAGCGGUGAAAUGCGUAGAGAUGUGGAGGAAUACCGGUGGCGAAGGCGGCCCCCUGGACAAAGACUGACGCUCAGGUGCGAAAGCGUGGGGAGCAAACAGG
rnacentral:rRNA from 1 species